CAGCACAUAUUGGUAAUCCUUCUCAUCUUCUCUACUAUUGUUGGUAAAGGCCUAAUGGGUACACCAAAUUGGGAUCUUUUUUUUAGGGUUGUCUCAGAUCUAGGGAUGAACUCGCCGGUCAGUCUCAUACUCGAUCGUUCUCGAUCAUUUUCACCCCAUAUUACAAAUGAUCGACUUUGAUCCAACCUUGAAUCUCUUGGCUGGCCGGGUUCUUAUCUUGUUCGCUUCUGAGAUCAAGAGCGGAGCAAACCCAAACUAGAUUACAUUCAUUCAUCGGGUUUCCAUCAGUUGAGGGAGCUCAGUGGAAGAAUCGGAGCAAGCCACAAUGGAAGUCGCGAAUCCUAUUCCAAUUCCAUUGAAUUCGCUGUGCUUCUGGAUACUUGUGUGUUACAUUUGGAGGUUUUUCAUGAAAUGCAACAUUUGAGAUUAGCGAUUCAACUUGAAAAAAAAAGAAAAAAAAAUCUCUAACGAUUGGUUUGGCUCUAGAGGAAGUGACACUGGAGUCACUAUCCAGACCUACCAGGUGUCUAAUGUUGAUAAGGUGAGAAUUGAUCACAUGGCUGUUGCUUUGUCAAAGACAUUCAAGUCACCAGUAGUGGAUACCAUACAAUGUCUUCCUCAACAUCAACAGAUUAUAGUUGUGCUCUGCUGCAAAGCAUUUCCGUGGUGUAAAGAAAGAUACAACUAUAGAAGAGUUAAAUAAAUAUUCUUACUUGGACAUCUGCAAAUCAAUACUAAUUCCACCAGUUGGAAGUUUUCAAUUUUCAAGUGUGCAAAGUGCUACAUGACCAGGGGACUCUUCUUAGUUACUUGUAGAGUUGCUGGAAAGUUACUGGACUUUACUAUGUUUUGGUAUGCUAAUGACUAAUUCUGCAGGGGUGGUUAUUUUCACAUGAUCCAUUCUGGAGGCCUGCACAAAUGAAGGUUAUAUUUACAAUUUUUGUUUUGGGUAUAUUGUUCCCUUUUAUUUAUCUGUUGUCAUUAACAAUGGAACAUACUUCUUUCCAGACACUUUUACAUUAUGUUCCUGCAGGGAGGGUGGUAGUCCUUGAUCUGUUUGCUGAUAUGAAACUGAUAUGUGAAUUGAACUUGUAGAGUUAGAGUUUGAUUGAUUGACGUAAUGAGUACUGCUACUUGUACAUUUUUAAUUGUCAUUUUGUAAAUGAAAUUACUUAUAAUGAUAAUCUGAUUGAAAUGUUUCUCUUACAUCUAAUUUGUCAUAUGGAUAUGGUGAUACAAAUGUGAAAUUGGUAGAAAUAUAAUUUUUUUUUAUUAAAAAAAACUGUUUUUACGGCGUGCAAGUUGCGCCUUAAAUGGGAACUCAAUCACACUUUUACGGCACACAUUAUACGCCUUAAAUGGGAACGCAAUCAAGUCUUUUACGGCGUGCAACAUGUGACGUAAAUAACAUGAGUGACAUUUCCAAUAUCACUUUCAUGGCGUUCUUAGAUGCACUUUAACGGCGCAUUUUAGUGUGCCGUAAAUGAGGU